rnacentral:rRNA from 1 species
GUCUACGGCCAUACCACCCUGAACACGCCCGAUGUCUGAUCUCAAGCUAAGCAGGGCCAGGUCUGGUUAGUGCUUGGAUGGGAGACUGCCUGGGAAUACCGGGUGCUGUAGGCU